rnacentral:lncRNA from 1 species
AUGCUGUGUCUGAAGAUUGUUAAAGUCGUGACCCAGACAGCCCUCCGCAUUCUCCUACCAGCGCUAGCUCGUAUCAUGGGGGUGAACCUGAGGAGUGGGGCAACCUCCCCAGAAUCACAGUGCUCUCUGACAGGGUCUGAGGAUUCCUUAGGCGGUCUGGAUGAGAGAGAGAAAAGGCUGCUGAUCAGUGAGAUGAACUACUGGACUAAGGAGAGGAGGAGUAAUGGCAGUGCAGGAUGCCGCCAAAAAUCCACUCGCAGAACCUCAUCACCAUGCUGUUCGCCUAAGAGCGUUCCAAGAGAGCAAACAAAAAGGACUGCCAUUCAGUCCAGGAACAGACUGAGAUUCCCUCUACUGAUGGACAUUGCAUAGGUAAGGAUGUUUAAGAGCUCUGCUAUAGCUUGUAGUUUUGGUUUAGGUGUGUGUUAGAAACAUAGGUAUGCCUACCAAACUCAUAGCACUUGUUAUUUUUCAACGUUACUAUUCUGCAUCUCUCUCCCCCCCAGUUGGAGAGGUUUCUCCCUCCAUAUCUCAGUCUGUCAAAAAACGAUCCUUGAUUGUCAGGGUCUUUUCAGCAAUGAUGAAGCCAUUUAGGCGCUUCACCAAGAAGAACCUGUAACCUGUUACGCUGCAUGAAGAACUACUUAUGUAACAGCAAGACUUUUGACAAGAGGAAUUUCUGCAUGUCUACCCUUUCAAAGUCUAUUUGAUCAAAUAAAUGCCAUUGAUUUUACAAGAAUUUCAAGUGUUUUGGAAGAUUGAUAAUACUAAAGCAGAUUUUCUCAGAGAAAUGCACUAGUUCCCCCUUGGUUACACAUUUAUUGUGCAGUUUUUGAGUUGGCAGGACUUGGUGCAGCAGGUAGCCUUGUGGUUAGAGCAUUGGGCCAGUAACUGAAAGGUUGCUAGGUCAGAUCCCUGAGCUAACCAUGUAAAAAUAUGACGUUCUGCUCCUGAACAAGGUAGUUAACCCACUGUUCCUAAGCUGUCAUUGUAAAUAAGAAUUUGUUCUAAACUGACUUGUCUAGUAAAAUAAAUAAAAUAACCACAGCUUGACUCUAAUACAAUAGUUGCUGCAUAGACUGUCAGAUAACCAGAUGUUCUCUAUUAAUUUAGUUAGAUUGGUAAGAGCUUAUUAGCAGCAAGGGGAAAACACAUAGAGGAGAAUUAGCUAUCUGCAGCUAGAUCAACCCUCUGAGAUGUUUUCUAUAUGUUGAAAAUAUAAGGUCCAACAGUUGACAGUGUAUGUCAGAGCAAAAACCAAGCCAUGAGGUCGAAGGAAUUGUCCAUAGAACUCAGAGACAUGAUUGUGUCAAGACACAGAUCUGGUGAAGGGUACCAAAACGUUUCUGCAAUAUUGAAGGUCCCCAAGGACACAGUGGCCUCCAUCAUUCUUAAACGGAAGAAGUCUGGAACCACCAAGACUCUUCCUAGAGCUGGCCGCCAGGCCAAACUGAGCAAUCGGGGGAGAAGGGCAGUGGAGUAUCUUCAACAGCCAUAGGCCCAGGGAUUUCACAUCACAUUCCAUGAUGCAAUGCAGAAUACGGCUUCACACAGAACAAUCACCAAACC